ensembl:lncRNA
UUUUUUCAAUUUGCUUUUUAGGGCCAUACCCGUGGCAUAUGGAGGUUCCCAGGGUAGGGGUCAAAAUAAAGCUACAGCUGCUGACCUACACCACAGCCAUAGCAACGCAGAAUGUGAGCCAUGUCUGCGACCUACACCACAGCUCACAGCAACACCAGAUCCUUAACCCACUGAGCAAGGCCAGGGAUCAAACCUGCAUCCUCAUGGAUGCUCGUCAGAUUCACUUCCCCCGAGCCACGAUGGGAACUCCCAAAGUCUCUUAAGGUAACUAGUCACAUGUUCUGGGGAUUAGGACAGGCAGAUCUUUGAGGGACUGUUAUUCAGCCCACCACAAAUAUCCAACAUUUCUUCCCCCAAAAAACCAAUUUUACCCCCUUGAGAGUAACAUCACCCCAAAUGAGAAUGCAUUCUGCAUAUGGAGGGAAGAUAUAUGAGGAUGUUAAGUAGCCAGAGGAUGGGCUGUACUGAACAGCUUCAGCUUGGGAGCACUUCCAUCCAUGCCAUUUUUUUUUUCUUUUUGCCUUUUCUAGGUCCACACCCGUGGCAUAUGGAGGUUCCCAGGCUAGGGGUCUAAUCGGAGCUGUAGCCGCCAGCCUACAGCAACGUGGGAUCCAAGACGCGUCUGCGACUUACACCACAGCUCACGGCAACGCUGGAUCCUUAACCCACUGAGCAAGCCAGGGAUCGAACCCACAACCUCAUGGUUCCUAGUCGGAUUCGUUAACCACUGCGCCACAAUAGGAAUUCCCAUGCCAUCCUUUCUUGGCACUAGUGAAUCGGAUUUCCUUUGGAGAAUGGCCCUUUUCACUGUGUGUAAUCAAACAAUGGACCCAUAUAUCAAGGUACCCUGUUUUUCCCUAGUCAAAGCACAGGCAUCUGGUAGUAAAUUAGACCCUCUCCAUGAGCAAUAGGACAAUAAGAGGCUCCACUUUCAUUUGGCAUCUAAUAAAGCUGUCCAGAAAUCUUGCUUCCUUAACUCCUGGAUUUUCUGCUUUCUUGGUUCUUCAGCCUCCCUUCACCUCCUUCUGGGAUCCAAUGGAUCCUUUCAAUAUAUUCCAAUUUUUGUUGAGUUGGCCAGAGCUGAUUUUUUUUUUUUCAUGCACCCAAAUAACUCUAAUGAGCUCAUCCAAAAUAAGGCAUUUUAGUAUCUGAUACUAACAUCCUAGUUUGGGGAUCUAGGAGUUUAGGGGAAAUGAAUAAUUCCAAAAGCCAUUUUACUUUCAUUUUGAGUCACAACAAAGGAAAGAAACUGGACAAUGAGGAAUGAAAUAACUAGAGCUAUCCAACAAAACUUUCAGUAAUGGAGGAAAUGACCUCCAUCUGCACUUUCCAGUGCAGAAGCCGCCAGCCACCUGAAGCCAAUGAACACUUGAAAUGCGGCUAGUGUAACUGUGGAACUGCAUUUAUAAUUUUAUUUAAUUCUAACUAAUCCCAAUUUAAACAACCACAUGGGGCUGCUUGCUAUCAUACUGGACAGAGAACUAGAGUCCCUGUAUUUUUAUAAUUAAGAAUAGCUUUGAGCUUGGUNNNNNNNNNNNNNNNUGCUAAAAUUGGAUACAAUACAGAGAAGAUUAGCAUGCCUCCUUUGCAAGGAUAACAUGCAAAUUGGUGAAGUAUUCCGUAUUUCUUUUAAAAAAAGGAUAGUCUUGGGAGUCCCCUUCGUGGUUUAAGUGGUUAACAAACCCAACUAGGAUCCAUGAGGUUUGAUCCCUGUCCUCACUCAGUAGGUUAAGGAUCCAGCGUUGCCAUAAGCUGUUGUGUAGGUCACAGACUGAGGCUUGGAUCCUGCAUUGCUGUGGCUGUGGUGUAGGCUGGCAGCUAUAGCUCCAAUUUGACCCCUAACCUGAGAACUUCCAUAUGCCAUGGGCGUGGCCCUAAAAAGCAAAAAUUAAAUUAAAUUAAAUUAAAUAAAAAAUAAAAGGAUAGUCUUAUUGAGCACCUUAAGCACUAAUUACCAUAACAUUUACAAAUAGUCUUGAAUUUCAUAACAAAGAUCAUGAUCAUUGGGUAGAUAUUGCAUUUGACCUUUCAAAUCAAGUCUCUACCUUUCUCUUCACUACUCUAGACCCCCUAGACUCACAGGCAUGGAUUUUGGGAUUAUGUAACUGGAUGCCUUUGCCCUCUGCCUGCAAUCUGAGGUUGGACACUGGGAAUUCCCUGCAAAUAGAAGAGAAGAAGAGAAGAAACUGGGUUACUAAUCUCCCUUAUCUCCCUUUUCUCUUCCUGCUGGGUAGCCGUGGGCUCCAAUGUCCCUUUCCAGAUGCCUUUCCAUCUCCAGGUUCCGGUAACUACUCCUUCCUUUUGCCUCCUCAGGCCUACAGAUAGUGAUGACACCCCACUGUUACUAGCUCCCAGGUACUUACUAUGCUAUACCUUGCUGCACUUACCCUGCCCCUAUUUAUUACUCCCUUUAAGUACCCCAUCUAUGUCCUGCUGGGAUGCUGACGAAUGAAACCAGUCAACAUUUUUGUUGAAUAAGACUUUAGGAUAAGGCUGAAAACCAUAAACUAACAAAUGAAUAGCUGUCACCACAGAGCUGAAAGAUGACCCUAAUCAAAUGUAUUAUUGAUCAUUGCUAAAGAUAUCAAUCGUUUUACAAACACACAUAAUGCACGGAUUUACAGAGCACAAAUGCACACACAGAGGUAGGAAUAAAACUCAAAGCUCAAAGGGACGGUAACGAUAAUUCUAUCAUUAAAAGUAGAUGUCAAAGAUUCUUCUACAAAAGUAAUUACUAGUGUGUUGACACAGAUCCUAGAUUGCAGUUUGGUCAGACUCCUGGGAACUUGGUGUUUUCUUCUCCAGGUUGCUUGAAGAAGAAGAUAAAAUAUCAUUGGACUCCCAUCAUUUCAGCAUAGUUAGGUUACUAUUAUUCAAAAUGGAAGGUGGAAGCAGAAUUUAGUGUUAUCUGUCAGCUAAACACAGAAAUAAAAAAUAGAAAAACUUGUUGUGUUUUCCCAAGAGGACAAGAGUAUGUUAUAUCCAAAGGAAACUUUAAAGGUUUGUUCAAUUGAAGACAUUCCUGAUUUUGUUCUGAGUGGUCCCCGGGCCUCUAGGAAGCUUCUACAGGACCUUCCUUAAUCUGGUGAGAUUCAGCCCUUCAUUCACCAUCAUUUCAAAAGAAGCAAUUCUGAAGUCACUUCCAUCCAGCCCCAAAGGGAAAAGAGGAUGAACGAUCAUACUUGAGAGAUUUUUCAAAGCCAGAAAAUUGUGGCAUAUAUCACUUCUCCCAUUCUACGAGCUAGGACUCAAGAUACAUGGCUACACUGAAUGCAAUGGAAGAGAAGCUAGAAAAUGAGCCCAGGCGUGUGUUCAUGAAGAAAAGGAGAACAGGGACUUAAGGAACAUCUAGCAGUCUCUGCUAGAGUGGCGCUGGACCUUUCUUUCAAUCCUCAAGACACAGACCUAGGAAACAGGAAGAAAGAGAAUCGCCGCCAUUUUCUAAAUGGAAAGCUACAACACAGAGAGUAUGCUGACCACGGCGUCAGGGAAAUUAGUAACUGACCAGUUAUACCAUCGCUUCAGAGAACAAAAUCAGCUUCAUCCAUUGCUUUAUUUCCCAGGACAUCCUCUAUGGACCUUCACUGUUCACAACAGGAGAAACUGAACCUCUUGACCUUUGCCAGAAAACUAUACGCUUGCUACUUGUUGCACAAGUAGUGGUCUGGGGCUCAACCCCUCACUGUAGUUCCAAAAACUGGCAGUGGUUAGUUAAGAUAACACUAGUAUCUCUGAAAACAAAACCCCUGAAAUCUCAGUGGCUUCACACAAAUUUCUCUCUCCUGCAUGUAAGGGAAAAGUGAAUGUUCCUGACCAGCUGCCAGCUCUCCUCUGAGCAGUGUUUCAGGACUCAGCCUCCAUCCAAUUUGCUCUUCUUCUAUUUUCAGCAUGCGGUUUUCAAGGUUACCCCAGGGUGUUCAUCCAGCCAGCAGGUGAGAAAAAGAGGGGAUGGUGAGGGCGUGUUCAUUCUUGACCCUUCCUCCCUGCAGGUGACACAUGUCACCUCUGCUCACAUGUCAUUGGCAAGGCCAUUGGCAUGGCCACACCCACAUGUGAGGAAGGCUGGGACAGAUGUAGUUGUUUCCCAGCAAUGGUUUUACAGUAUAAUAGAAGGACACACACAUUUUUGAUGAAAGGCUAGCUCUCUAUGUCACAUACCGCUAGAUUCCCAUGGAAGGAAUUCUUUUAUUUGACUAGUUGUUAUAUGUGCCACAGAGUUCUGUUUCCAUAAAUAAUUACUUACAAUGGAUUUUCUUUAGCCUGGUGUGGCUGAGCUUCAGAGGUAAAGGAACACUUUGAAACGUAUGCAAAUUUUUCUGAAUAGGUACUGAGUGCAUUUUUAAAAGGAUUUUUAUAUCAGAUUUUCAAAGGGCUUCAAAGUCCUCCCCAGUGUUUUUUAAAUCAUUGCCAUGUUGCAAAGAUUUUCUAAACUAGCUUUGUCCUUCUAAGCCUCAUUUCCUCACCCAGUGGUGAGGAAUAUACUAAGUAAUCAGACCCACUGUGGAUCACUUUGAAUGUACAGAUUUCAGGAUCCUACCCCUGCCCUAGUCAAUGGCAUUUAGGUUGGGGUGGCGGAGGGAAGUUAGGCAGCCUGUGAAUAUGCAUAUUUUUUAACUCUCCACGUAGCCUUUGUCCUUAGUCCUUGAACUAAACUAAACAGGUGUACCACUUGUUAAAAGAGAAGCACACCUGCAGUGCUUUCGUCUAUCCAUAGUUCUCCGCUUGUUUCUAACCCAGAUUCCCGGUAUAUUCAUCAGACCCGUUUUCCAUUUCAUAUAUCCCUUAGAUAUCUUUCUUCAGUUAUGAUGACUGACAUUCAUUAAGCAUCUCUCCCAUGGGCCAGGUGUCAUGCUUAUCACUUCACAUGUCAUUUAAAACUCACAGCAACCCAAUUCCAGAUGGGUAAACUGGGGUCUGUGGACCUGUAUUAUUCAUCCAAUGUCACAGGGCUAGUAAGUGCCCAAACCGAGAAUCAAACCUCACUGCCUGAUUCUAAUCUGUUUGUUUGAUCCAUGAGCCUAUUUUUAAUCUCUCCCCCUUUAGAACAUUGCCGAACACUUUCAUAGCUUUAUUAUUUGCCCUCCUACACUCCGCAGUUUUUGCUCCCUCUCAAAUACUACUUCAGGUUUUUAUCUUUCCCUUCCCCUAUAAAACUUUCCUGGUGGUAGCAAUGCAUAUACUAUUUGUCAUCAAUUUUUCAAGUCAGAGGCACCAAAUGAAGUAGAUGCGAAACAUUUUGGGUCUUAUCAGCAUGUCAGGUUGAGCUACAGUGUUCUUUUUCUCUGCUUGAACAGAAAGAGACGUUGGCUGCUACAAGUCUACAGAUAUCCUUAGAGCUUUGAUCACAACAUGCAUAGUUGAGUGGGCCGUUAAUGACAAACACUUCAAAAAAUAAUUAACUGUUAUACCUGACUUCGUGUAGCCAGGAAUUCAAGGUGCAAUAUCAGGAAUUUGUGUUGAGACUGUAGAUUACUGUGUAGCA